GAAUACCUGCUGUAUUUGUGAUGAUGCAUCAUCGGUUCUGGGCCAACACCUUAUAAAUGGGACUCACAUUCGCAUCAGUGCCGCGAUAGGCUUCGGCCAAGGCGAAGCUGAUGGAGCGAGACCCGCCUGCGAAAGCAGGUUCAGAACCUUGCUUCACACGGUACAGCGGGUCCUUU
rnacentral:other from 1 species